rnacentral:rRNA from 1 species
UGGGGAAUAUUGCACAAUGGGCGCAAGCCUGAUGCAGCCAUGCCGCGUGUAUGAAGAAGGCCUUCGGGUUGUAAAGUACUUUCAGCAGUGAGGAAGGUGGGUAUGUUAAUAGCAUAUUCAUUUGACGUUAGCUGCAGAAGAAGCACCGGCUAACUCCGUGCCAGCAGCCGCGGUAAUACGGAGGGUGCGAGCGUUAAUCGGAAUUACUGGGCGUAAAGCGCAUGCAGGUGGUUUGUUAAGUCAGAUGUGAAAGCCCGGGGCUCAACCUCGGAAUUGCAUUUGAAAACUGGCAAACUAGAGUACUGUAGAGGGGGUAGAAUUUCAGGUGUAGCGGUGAAAUGCGUAGAGAUCUGAAGGAAUACCGGUGGCGAAGGCGGCCCCCUGGACAGAUACUGACACUCAGAUGCGAAAGCGUGGGGAGCAAACAGGAUUAGAUACCCUGGUAG